rnacentral:rRNA from 1 species
CGUAGGUGCAAGCGUUGUCCGGAAUUAUUGGGCGUAAAGAGCUCGUAGGCGGUUUGUUGCGUCGGCUGUGAAAUCCCGAGGCUCAACCUCGGGUCUGCAGUCGAUACGAGCAAACUAGAGUGUUGCAGGGGAGACUGGAAUUCCUGGUGUAGCGGUGAAAUGCGCAGAUAUCAGGAGGAACACCGGUGGCGAAGGCGGGUCUCUGGGCAACAACUGACGCUGAGGAGCGAAAGCGUGGGAGCGAACAGGAUU